AUUGAACGCUGGCGGCGUGCCUAAUACAUGCAAGUCGAACGCAGUGGGGACGGGUGAGUAACACGUGGGUAACCUCCCAUCAGAGGGGAUAACGCUUGGAAACAGGUACUAAACCGAUACUGAUGGAUGGACCAGCGGUGAAUUAGCUAGUUGGUGAGGUAACGGCUCACCAAGGCGACGAUGCAUAGCGGGCUUGAGAGGAGGAGCGGCCACACUGGGACUGAGACACGGCCCAGACUCCUACGGGAGGCAGCAGUAGGGAAUCUUCGGCAAUGGACGAAAGCCUGACCGAGCAACGCCGCGUGAGUGAAGAAGGUUUUCGGAUUGUAAAACUCUGUUGUUAGGGAAGCGGUAUCUACCCAGAAAGCCACGGCUAACUACGUGCCAGCAGCCGCGGUAAUUC
rnacentral:rRNA from 1 species